rnacentral:misc_RNA from 1 species
UUUCCGUAGGUGAACCUGCGGAAGGAUCAUUAUCAAUAUCAGCGGACUCCGGUCCCUGCUAUACCCUUGUCUUUUGCGUACCACACGUUUCCUCGGCGGGCUUGCCUGCCGAUAGGACAACCAUAAACCCUUUGCAGUUGCAAUCAGCGUCAGAAAAAAACAAUAGUUAAAACUUUCAACAACGGAUCUCUUGGUUCUGGCAUCGAUGAAGAACGCAGC